GAUCCUGGCUCAGGACGAACGCUGGCGGCGUGCUUAACACAUGCAAGUCGAACGAGAAUCUACUGAAAGAGUUUUCGGACAAUGGAAGUAGAGGAAAGUGGCGGACGGGUGAGUAACGCGUGAGGAACCUGCCUUGAAGAGGGGGGACAACAGUUGGAAACGACUGCUAAUACCGCAUGACGCAUAGAGGUCGCAUGAUCUUUAUGCCAAAGAUUUAUCGCUUCAAGAUGGCCUCGCGU
rnacentral:rRNA from 1 species